rnacentral:rRNA from 1 species
GAUGAACGCUAGCGAUAGGCUUAACACAUGCAAGUCGAGGGGCAGCGAGGGUAGCAAUACCUGUCGGCGACCGGCGCACGGGUGAGUAACGCGUAUGUAACCUGCCCGCAACAGGGGGAUAACCCGGCGAAAGUCGGACUAAUACCGCAUAAAACAGGGGUCCCGCAUGGGAAUAUUUGUUAAAGAUUUAUCGGUUGCGGAUGGGCAUGCGUACCAUUAGGUAGUUGGUGAGGUAACGGCUCACCAAGCCUUCGAUGGUUAGGGGUUCUGAGAGGAAGGUCCCCCACACUGGUACUGAGACACGGACCAGACUCCUACGGGAGGCAGCAGUGAGGAAUAUUGGUCAAUGGGCGAGAGCCUGAACAAGCCAAGUCGCGUGAAGGAUGACUGCCCUAUGGGUUGUAAACUUCUUUUACAAGGGAAUAAAAUGAGAUACGUGUAUUUUAUUGCAUGUACCUUGGGAAUAAGCAUCGGCUAACUCCGUG